rnacentral:rRNA from 1 species
CCUACGGGUGGCAGCAGUGGGGAAUAUUGCACAAUGGGGGAAACUCUGAUGCAGCGACGCCGCGUGAGUGAAGAAGUAUCUCGGUAUGUAAAGCUCUAUCAGCAGGGAAGAAAAAAGACGGUACCUGACUAAGAAGCACCGACUAACUACGUGCCAGCAGCCGCGGUAAUACGUAGGGGGCAAGCGUUAUCCGGAUUUACUGGGUGUAAAGGGAGCGUAGGCGGUAUGGCAAGUCGGAGGUGAAAGCCCAGGGCUUAACCCUGGGACUGCUUUGGAAACUGUUAGACUAGAGUGCUGGAGAGGUAAGUGGAAUGCCUGGUGUAGCGGUGAAAUGCGUAGAGAUUAGGCGGAACACCAGUGGCGAAGGCGGCUUACUGGACUGUAACUGACGUUGAGGCUCGAAAGCGUGGGGAGCAAACAGGAUUAGAUACCCUGGUAGUC